CGAAUUUCGACAUUUUGGAGCAAGAUUAAGAUGUUUCGAAUCAAAUUAGAAUGUAUGUACAACGUAACGCUGAUACCUUGAAAGUUUUUGAUAACGGAAUCUUACUUCAUGGAACGUUCAUGUCGAACGAUUUGUGCAUGAAAUUAAAUGGAACUUAGAAUUGUGAGUGCCUACGACUGUGUAUCUGAGGUCCUCGUCACGACCUUUUGAAUGAUAUGUCUAUAAUGAGAGCUGCAUGAUAGCAACAACAGUGAUGUAGUCAGAAUCAAAUAUUCGCUAAAAGACAAAAGCAAAAGAAAAUGGGAAAUUUAUAAAGAAAUAUAAUAUAUCUAUAUUCUAUAUUCAUUUUUAAGGGAUGAGAACGCGGAUAAAUUAAUCCGUCUUACCUUUUUCUAAAUAAUUUUCUCAACAAUCAGUUUUAGUUGAUCAUCCAGUGAACUCUAAUAAUAAUUUCUAAAUGCUAAUCAAUAAAAUUCAUAAUUGUAAUAGAUAA